rnacentral:rRNA from 1 species
CCGGCGAUACCCGAAUGGGGAAACCCAGUGUGAUUCGUCACACUAUCAUUAACUGAAUCCAUAGGUUAAUGAGGCGAACCGGGGGAACUGAAACAUCUAAGUACCCCGAGGAAAAGAAAUCAACCGAGAUUCCCCCAGUAGCGGCGAGCGAACGGGGAGGAGCCCAGAGCCUGAAUCAGCAUGUGUGUUAGUGGAAGCGUCUGGAAAGGCGCGCGAUACAGGGUGACAGCCCCGUACACAAAAGCGCAUGUGCUGUGAGCUCGAUGAGUAGGGCGGGACACGUGGUAUCCUGUCUGAAUAUGGGGGGACCAUCCUCCAAGGCUAAAUACUCCUGACUGACCGAUAGUGAACCAGUACCGUGAGGGAAAGGCGAAAAGAACCCCGGCGAGGGGAGUGAAAAAGAACCUGAAACCGUGUACGUACAAGCAGUGGGAGCACCCUUUGGGUGUGACUGCGUACCUUUUGUAUAAUGGGUCAGCGACUUAUAUUCUGUAGCAAGGUUAACCGAAUAGGGGAGCCGGAGGGAAACCGAGUCUUAAUUGGGCGUUAAGUUGCAGGGUAUAGACCCGAAACCCGGUGAUCUAGCCAUGGGCAGGUUGAAGGUUGGGUAACACUAACUGGAGGACCGAACCGACUAAUGUUGAAAAAUUAGCGGAUGACCUGUGGCUGGGGGUGAAAGGCCAAUCAAACCGGGAGAUAGCUGGUUCUCCCCGAAAGCUAUUUAGGUAGCGCCUCGUGAAUUCAUCUCCGGGGGUAGAGCACUGUUUCGGCUAGGGGGCCAUCCCGGCUUACCAACCCGAUGCAAACUGCGAAUACCGGAGAAUGUUAUCACGGGAGACACACGGCGGGUGCUAACGUCCGUCGUGAAGAGGGAAACAACCCAGACCGCCAGCUAAGGUCCCAAAGUCAUGGUUAAGUGGGAAACGAUGUGGGAAGGCCCAGACAGCCAGGAUGUUGGCUUAGAAGCAGCCAUCAUUUAAAGAAAGCGUAAUAGCUCACUGGUCGAGUCGGCCUGCGCGGAAGAUGUAACGGGGCUAAACCAUGCACCGAAGCUGCGGCAGCGACACUGUGUGUUGUUGGGUA